rnacentral:rRNA from 1 species
GAUGAACGCUGGCGGCGUGCCUAAUACAUGCAAGUCGAGCGAACAGACGAGGAGCUUGCUCCUCUGACGUUAGCGGCGGACGGGUGAGUAACACGUGGAUAACCUACCUAUAAGACUGGGAUAACUUCGGGAAACCGGAGCUAAUACCGGAUAAUAUAUUGAACCGCAUGGUUCAAUAGUGAAAGACGGUUUUGCUGUCACUUAUAGAUGGAUCCGCGCCGCAUUAGCUAGUUGGUAAGGUAACGGCUUACCAAGGCAACGAUGCGUAGCCGACCUGAGAGGGUGAUCGGCCACACUGGAACUGAGACACGGUCCAGACUCCUACGGGAGGCAGCGGUAGGGAAUCUUCCGCGAUGGGGGAAAGCUUGACGGAGCAACGCGGCGUGAGUGAUGAAGGUCUUCGGAUCGUAAAACUCUGUUAUUAGGGAAGAACAAAUGUGUAAGUAACUAUGCACGUAUUGACGGUACCUAAUCAGAAAGCCACGGCUAACUACGUG